rnacentral:lncRNA from 1 species
UAGAUUAAUCUCUCAAGGUAACUGAAAUUCAUUUAAAAAGUUGACCUCUCCCGCUAAUAUUUUUCCGUACACACCGGUUAAGGAUCAAGUUUUGAGCCAAAUGGUUAAAGCACUCGAGUAUCGUCCCAUAAAUCCUAACUCAACUGGCAAAAAUGCCGAAAUUGUUAGGUCGGACGUCGUGACCGGGUUCGAACCGGAGAUCUCACAAUUAUAUGCGAGUUUAAUUUCGGUGAAUUACCACUUCAUCUAAGACCAAAAAAAAGUACUCAAGUAUCUACCAUUUAUCAUCAAAUUUACCAUAAACCUCUAAAUAGUUCAAGGACACAUUAACUUCACUUUUUAUACACGUAAGAACAUGAAGGACUGAAAAUUGCAAGAUCGGUAGCAAAUAAUGUAUCAUAUCAUGCAAAACUUUUCAGUA